rnacentral:sRNA from 1 species
AGUCCCCACCCAACCCAGAAGCUCAGCUGGCUUCACCUCUCAAUGGCACUCACUGCGGCACCUAGCUCGGGCAGGCCAGCAGCCCAGAGGGAGCUCGUCCCCCAUCAAGCCCAUCAGGCGCCCACCCAGAACCGCACGUAGCCCAGUCUCCCGCUGGCGCCUCUCUCUCUCUACACCUCCCUGAGAGCAGAGGGAGAUGGCUCCGCCUUGGCCAGCCCCAGAGAGGGGCUCCCACAGUGUAGCAGCGGGCUGAAGGGCUCCUUGAGCACAGCCAGAGCGGACGCCGAGGCCGAGGAGGUGCCGAGAGCCAGCAAGGGCUGCUAGCACGUUGUCACCUCUCAAUAGGAGAAAGCUAUCUAAUAUUUAAUGUAUUUAAGAAAAUCGUGCAAAUGUGGGAAAAUUGUAAGAUGUGCUUUUAGCAAGAAAGAGUUUCUGUUUGGAGGGAUAAACCUCAAGGCCUUUAUGAAGACCAAAAUGACAUACAAUUUUCCUGAUAAAUGCAGUAAAGUGUAACCAAAAAUUUAACAUCUUAAAUUUGAAUUGAGGUUGGGUGUGGUGGCUCACACC